UACGUAGGGGGCAAGCGUUGUCCGGAAUCAUUGGGCGUAAAGAGCGUGUAGGCGGUCCGAUAAGUCCGCUCUGAAAGCCCGGGGCUCAACCCCGGGAGGCGGGCGGAUACUGUCGGGCUAGAGUCCGGAAGAGGCAAGUGGAAUUCCUGGUGUAGCGGUGAAAUGCGCAGAUAUCAGGAGGAACACCGAUGGCGAAGGCAGCUUGCUGGGACGGUACUGACGCUGAGACGCGAAAGCGUGGGGAGCAAACAGGAUUAGAACUUCCGUAGUCA
rnacentral:rRNA from 1 species